rnacentral:rRNA from 1 species
GUGAACGCUGGCGGUAGGCCUAACACAUGCAAGUCGAACGGCAGCACAGUAAGAGCUUGCUCUUACGGGUGGCGAGUGGCGGACGGGUGAGGAAUACAUCGGAAUCUACUUUUUCGUGGGGGAUAACGUAGGGAAACUUACGCUAAUACCGCAUACGACCUACGGGUGAAAGCCGGGGAUCUUCGGACCUUGCGCGAUUGAAUGAGCCGAUGUCGGAUUAGCUAGUUGGCGGGGUAAAGGCCCACCAAGGCGACGAUCCGUAGCUGGUCUGAGAGGAUGAUCAGCCACACUGGAACUGAGACACGGUCCAGACUCCUACGGGAGGCAGCAGUGGGGAAUAUUGGACAAUGGGCGCAAGCCUGAUCCAGCCACACCGCGUGGGUGAAGAAGGCCUUCGGGUUGUAAAGCCCUUUUGUUGGGAAAGAAAAGCAGCAGGUUAAUACCCCGCUGUUCUGACGGUACCCAAAGAAUAAGCACCGGCUAACUUCGUG